UGUAGUCAUAUGCUUGUCUCAAAGAUUAAGCCAUGCACGUCUGAGAAUAAAGAGUUUUCUCUGAAUCUGCGAAUGGCUCAUUAUAUCAGUUAUAGUUUAUUUGAUAGUCCCUUACUACUUGGAUAACCGUAGUAAUUCUAGAGCUAAUACAUGCAUCAAACCCCAACUGCUUGUCGGAAGGGGUGUAUUUAUUAGAUAGAAACCAAUGCGGGGCAACCCGGUAUUGUGGUGAAUCAUGAUAACUUUGCGGAUCGCAGACCUCGUGUCGGCGACGAAUCAUUCAAGUUUCUGCCCUAUCAGCUUUGGAUGGUAGGGUAUUGGCCUACCAUGGCUCCAACGGGUAACGGGGAAUG
rnacentral:rRNA from 1 species